rnacentral:rRNA from 1 species
UACGUAGGUGGCGAGCGUUGUCCGGAUUUACUGGGCGUAAAGAGCGCGCAGGCGGCUGGUCAAGUCCGAUGUGAAAGCUCCCGGCUUAACUGGGAAAUUGCAUCGGAAACUGAUCGGCUGGAAGGUGGGAGAGGGUAGCGGAAUUCCCGGUGUAGUGGUGAAAUGCGUAGAUAUCGGGAGGAACACCAGUGGCGAAGGCGACUACCUGGCCUGUUCUUGACGCUGAGGCGCGAAAGCUAGGGGAGCAAACGGGG